rnacentral:rRNA from 1 species
UACAGAGGUCUCAAGCGUUGUUCGGAUUCAUUGGGCGUAAAGGGUGUGUAGGUGGCGCGCUAAGUCGGGUGUGAAAUUUCGGAGCUUAACUCCGAAACUGCAUUCGAUACUACCGUGCUUGAGGACUGGAGAGGAGACUGGAAUUUACGGUGUAGCGGUGAAAUGCGUAGAUAUCGUAAGGAAGACCAGUGGCGAAGGCGGGUCUCUGGACAGUUCCUGACGCUGAGGCACGAAGGCCAGGGGAGCAAACAGG